rnacentral:rRNA from 1 species
AGGAUGAACGCUAGCUACAGGCUUAACACAUGCAAGUCGAGGGGCAUCAGGAAGAAAGCUUGCUUUCUUUGCUGGCGACCGGCGCACGGGUGAGUAACACGUAUCCAACCUGCCCUUUACUCGGGGAUAGCCUUUCGAAAGAAAGAUUAAUACCCGAUAGCAUAAUGAUUCCGCAUGGUUUCAUUAUUAAAGGAUUCCGGUAAAGGAUGGGGAUGCGUUCCAUUAGGUUGUUGGUGAGGUAACGGCCCACCAAGCCUUCGAUGGAUAGGGGUUCUGAGAGGAAGGUCCCCCACAUUGGAACUGAGACACGGUCCAAACUCCUACGGGAGGCAGCAGUGAGGAAUAUUGGUCAAUGGGCGCUAGCCUGAACCAGCCAAGUAGCGUGAAGGAUGAAGGCUCUAUGGGUCGUAAACUUCUUUUAUAUAAGAAUAAAGUGCAGUAUGUAUACUGUUUUGUAUGUAUUAUAUGAAUAAGGAUCGGCUAACUCCGUGCCAGCAGCCGCGGUAAUACGGAGGAUCCGAGCGUUAUCCGGAUUUAUUGGGUUUAAAGGGAGCGUAGGUGGACUGGUAAGUCAGUUGUGAAAGUUUGCGGCUCAACCGUAAAAUUGCAGUUGAUACUGUCAGUCUUGAGUACAGUAGAGGUGGGCGGAAUUCGUGGUGUAGCGGUGAAAUGCUUAGAUAUCACGAAGAACUCCGAUUGCGAAGGCAGCUCACUGGACUGCAACUGACACUGAUGCUCGAAAGUGUGGGUAUCAAACAGGAUUAGAUACCCUGGUAGUCCACACAGUAAACGAUGAAUACUCGCUGUUUGCGAUAUACAGUAAGCGGCCAAGCGAAAGCAUUAAGUAUUCCACCUGGGGAGUACGCCGGCAACGGUGAAACUCAAAGGAAUUGACGGGGGCCCGCACAAGCGGAGGAACAUGUGGUUUAAUUCGAUGAUACGCGAGGAACCUUACCCGGGCUUAAAUUGCAGUGGAAUGAUGUGGAAACAUGUCAGUGAGCAAUCACCGCUGUGAAGGUGCUGCAUGGUUGUCGUCAGCUCGUGCCGUGAGGUGUCGGCUUAAGUGCCAUAACGAGCGCAACCCUUAUCUUCAGUUACUAACAGGUCAUGCUGAGGACUCUGGAGAGACUGCCGUCGUAAGAUGUGAGGAAGGUGGGGAUGACGUCAAAUCAGCACGGCCCUUACGUCCGGGGCUACACACGUGUUACAAUGGGGGGUACAGAAGGCAGCUAGCGGGUGACCGUAUGCUAAUCCCAAAAGCCUCUCUCAGUUCGGAUCGAAGUCUGCAACCCGACUUCGUGAAGCUGGAUUCGCUAGUAAUCGCGCAUCAGCCACGGCGCGGUGAAUACGUUCCCGGGCCUUGUACACACCGCCCGUCAAGCCAUGGGAGCCGGGGGUACCUGAAGUACGUAACCGCAAGGAUCGUCCUAGGGUAAAACUGGUGACUGGGGCUAA